rnacentral:tRNA from 2 species
GGUUCCAUAGUGUAGCGCUUAUCACGUCUGCUUUACACGCAGAAGGUCCUGGGUUAUAGCCCCAGUGGAACCA